CUCACCAGAUGGACAAAGAGAGACUAUUCAGUCAGAAACAGAGGAGCAGAAGAACAGAAAUAAAUAUUAUUAAAGGACAGUCUGCAAGGUGAAAAGCUCAACAUUUUUUUCAGAGAAUGGUGCAAAAAUUGUUUCUGUGGCGACAAUUUUCUUCACAAAUGAAAAUUAUCCCUGUCUGUGAAAAACGCCCAUAACUGAUGUCCUGGGCCC
rnacentral:lncRNA from 1 species